GGUGAGCUCCGUCGCGGGGACCUCGGGGACGUCGUGGCCGCAGCCGUGUGCCUGCGCCUGCCUGUGAAGCCUGGGCACCUUGAGUGACGUUAUGGAAGAAGGCACAUUCAUCUCCCGUAUUUAAAAUUGUGCCACUGCCUGCUCUCAGCUCCCAGAACGAGCGCCUUCCGUCCAACAGUCGCUCUGUGACCACUCAGUGGUGACAGUUCCCGAGAGAGUGCCCGUGGGGAAGUCGCCGGGGCCUCACCCAUGCCAAGGAAGUCACUCACCCCGCUCAUCCGCGAGAGCCUGGCUGUGUCCCAUGCGCCACGCACGGUCACCUAGCAUCGGCCACUGCACGAGGUUGCUGCCCACGUGGUAUCCCCAGGCUGGGAAGGCACAGGAGUCCACUCUGAGUCCAAGGCCUCCUCACCACAGCCCUGCCGGGGAGCGCCGCUGUGACCACGAUGGCUCUACACCCCAGAACGCACAGGCUCAGAUCCUGCCCGGGAGGGCUGCUGGCUUGACCACUGACAGUGCCAGGGAGGCGGCCGCGGUUAGUGAAUGCCACCUGGAGGGCUGCCUGGAUGGGAGCCCAGGGUCCACAUGGGGCAGUGGUGUCGGCAGCACUGGUGAGUACCGGCUUGGGGGUCCAGCAGCUGCACCCUGGACAAUACCCACUCAGCCAGCCCCGCCCUGGGUGGACCUCACGUCCACGCUCACAGCCGGGGCAGAGCGGCCUUGCUGCCAUCUCCUCUCUGGGUCCGUGGCCCAGCCACGCCCACGAGGGCCGGGACCCACCGGGUGCCCCCCUGAGUCAGACCCAGCCCAGGGGGCCUCCUGCACCUGCUGCCGGCUCCAGGGGAGGGCGGGGCGGGGCGGGGGAGAGCGAAUCUGUCUGGCGAGCAUGUGGACAGUCAGGUGGCCAGGCCCGCUCUGGGGGCGAGGCUGGGGGUGCACACCGGUCGCCCUCCUGGGCAGAGAACCUGGGUUUCUGCCAUAUUCAUGCCCGGCUCGCGUGGGCGCGCAGCUGCCGCCGUGGCUGCUCAGCUGUGGAGGCUCCAGGGCCGCCCUUAGGGGAGCCUGGUGCCUGGGGGGGGGGGGGCGGAUGGAUGGGGAAGCCCCUCCCGGAACGGCCCGCCCGCCACGCACCUCCCCCCUUCCCCACAUCGCCGCAUGAUUA
rnacentral:lncRNA from 1 species